AUGGAUAACUCCUCCUGCCCGAUAAUGUGUUGGAAUGUUAGAGGACUAAACACCCCGGCUCGUCAAUCUGUAGUGCGUGACACUGCGACCACACAUAGACUAGACAUCUUAUGCCUUCAGGAGACAAAGAUUGAAACCUGGUCGCCGAUGAUGGUUAGGGAAAUCGGAGGGGGCAGGUUAGAUGACUGCGCUGUGCUACCGUCCAUAGGAACACGCGGUGGAAUUGCCAUAUUCUGGAAUUCCGGCAGCGUCUCCGUCCAAACUCACGCCAUAGGUCAAUUCUCCAUUACGGCUAAGGUUAACCUGAUGGGAUCCCAAAACCACUUCUGGCUCACUACA
rnacentral:rRNA from 1 species